rnacentral:lncRNA from 1 species
AUAUAUAUAUAUAUNUCACAAAUUAUGUUAUUAUAUUAUCGAUAGUAACAAGUGUUUGUUACUAUCGAGUUUUCGGCCAUUAGAUGAAAGGAUGUGCGGUUCGAAUGAUAGUGAUAGCUUAAGAUUGAGUGAGUGGUUGAUUGAAUAGUAUGAUCUAACGGAUGAAAAUGAUCAAAAGAUAGAUCUAACGGCAGAUAUCACAGUAAAUCUAAAAU